rnacentral:rRNA from 2 species
GGCCUAACACAUGCAGUCGAGCGGAUGAGUGGAGCUUGCUCCAUGAUUCAGCGGCGGACGGGUGAGUAAUGCCUAGGAAUCUGCCUGGUAGUGGGGGACAACGUUUCGAAAGGAACGCUAAUACCGCAUACGUCCUACGGGAGAAAGUGGGGGAUCUUCGGACCUCACGCUAUCAGAUGAGCCUAGGUCGGAUUAGCUAGUUGGUGAGGUAAAGGCUCACCAAGGCGACGAUCCGUAACUGGUCUGAGAGGAUGAUCAGUCACACUGGAACUGAGACACGGUCCAGACUCCUACGGGAGGCAGCAGUGGGGAAUAUUGGACAAUGGGCGAAAGCCUGAUCCAGCCAUGCCGCGUGUGUGAAGAAGGUCUUCGGAUUGUAAAGCACUUUAAGUUGGGAGGAAGGGCAGUAAGUUAAUACCUUGCUGUUUUGACGUUACCAACAGAAUAAGCACCGGCUAACUUCGUGCCAGCA